AGAGCCCCGUCGUGCCCGG
rnacentral:snRNA from 1 species